AUUGAACGCUGGCGGCAGGCCUAACACAUGCAAGUCGAACGAGUGGCGGACGGGUGAGUAAUGUCUGGGAAACUGCCUGAUGGAGGGGGAUAACUACUGGAAAAGGUAGCUAAUACCGCAUACCAUCAGAUGUGCCCAGAUGGGAUUAGCUAGUUGGUGGGGUAAUGGCUCACCAAGGCGACGAUCCCUAGCUGGGCUGAGAGGAUGACCAGCCACGCUGGAACUGAGACACGGUCCAGACUCCUACGGGAGGCAGCAGUGGGGAAUAUGGCACAAUGGGCGCAAGCCUGAUGACGCCAUGCCGCGUGUGUGAAGAAGUCCUUCGGGUUGUAAAGUACUUUCAGCGGGGAGGCGUUACCCGCAGAAGAAGCACCGGCUAACUCCGUGCCAGCAGCCGCGGUAAUUC
rnacentral:rRNA from 1 species